UUCAGUAUAAGGUUACAAAAAUAGAGAACAAAGGCAGAUUUUUGAAAACAUGGAUAAAAUGGUCCAGAAGAAAUCAUAACAAUUUCAGAAGGCAGGAAACCAAGUAAAUUAGCAAGAUAAGGUAAGAUAAUGAUAAGGAAAAGACAAGGUAAGCAUCAGAAAGCAAAUCAGAAACUCUGAAUGAAAUGAAAUGGAAGCUUCCAUGUCCUCAGGCAGGAGCCUCAGGAGCUGAAGCCCCGGGCAGCUGUGUGUGUUCCCGGGCAGCUAUGUGUGUGUGUUCCCGGGCAGCUGUGUGUGUUCCCGGGCAGCUGUGUGUGUUCCCGGGCAGCUCUGUGUGUUCCUGGGCAGCUGUGUGUGUUCCUGGGCAGCUGUGUGUGUUUCCGGGCAGCUGUGCGUAUUCCCGGGCAGCUGUGCGUGUUCCCGGGCAGCUGUGUGUGUGUUCCCGGGCAGCUGUGUGUGUUCCCGGGCAGCUGUGUGUGUUCCCGGGCAGCUGUGUGUAUGUUCCCGGGCAGCUGUGUGUAUGUUCCCGGGCAGCUGUGUGUGUUCCCGGGCAGCUGUGUGUGUUCCCGGGCAGCUGUGCGUAUUCCCGGGCAGCUAUGUGUGUGUGUUCCUGGGCAGCUGUGUGUGUUCCUGGCCAGCUGUGUGUGUUCCUGGGCAGCUGUGUGUGUUCCUGGGCUGGGCUGGCUUGAGCAGGGGGAGGUUUGUGGUUCCGCAGAGCCUGGCUCCCUGCAUGCUCCGGGAGGACCUUCCUCGUGGCUUCCCCUGCCCCACCCUGAAAUAGUCCCGCCUGUUACUUUGUUUGGUUCCUGUCUGUGAUAUUGACUCUACCCCUUAGGAACCCCCACCCCCCCGCACUCCCUCACUAGAAUGUCAGCUCCAUGAAACCAGGGACCUAGUGUGUCCUAUUCACAACUGUGUCUCCAGGGCCAAAAAGAGAACCCUGCACGUAAUAGGUGCUCAGUAACAUUGUGUUGAAUCCCACUUGGUCUAUGUUUUCUGGCUUCAUGCUAGGAACUAAAAAAUGUAACUGCAUGCAUGUACUGGAGUGAGGAUUUAUGUUUCACAAAGAGCUGAAGACAAGCUUUGAUAGCACGCUUUAGGCUCUUAUCUGCAUAUCUGUGGGAACACAGCAGAAAGUACUAGAAUGUGGGCUCUGAACUUAGCCUCAG
rnacentral:lncRNA from 1 species